rnacentral:misc_RNA from 1 species
AAUUGGAGUACGAGGUGACUUGGGCCGAGGAGACGCCAUUUUUGAAGUCUCGUGUAUAAGAUGAGUGUGUGAUGUGUGAUUGUGCGAUGGGAGAGAGGAAUAAAAGAGGUAGUAAAGGACAUUUCCCAGCAAGAUGUGUCACAAAUAGGCACAGCAUCAGACACUGAGGCGUUGUUAUCUGGACAAGUUAGAGCAGAUCUUGAAAUUACAUGCAUCUUGAUGAAUCAUCCUGUAUAUCGAAUUAGAUCGCACAGAACGUUACUUUCCAAAAUAAAUUGCAGCAACAGAUUCUCCAUCUAACGAUACUAGUCUUUAAUUCGUCUCCAGUUGGAUGUGGUUUCUGUAACUGCGCAUAUUUUUUGAUCGUGGGGACUGCGUACGCGUUGUCCCUGUUUUUCUUUUACCUUCAUACUACUGGAAAAUGGAAAUAUGGACGAAUAACUGAAUGCAGUCCGGAACCAUAUAUUAAACUUGACUGAUCUAACGAUACUCCGGAGAAUUAAUUUUUAUCUAUCGCGGUUUACUGUGUUAAUUUCGAUUGAGAGAGCAAUUAAAGAACUAAUGAGCUAUUAUUUGACGAUACUUGUGGCUAAAUGAAAUGAAAUGGUAUCAUUGGACACAAUUAUUUUCAAAAAUUCCUUCAAAAUGAAGUAAAAUAUUUAACAAAAGACAGAUAACGUGAUAAUUAAAUAUAUUGCAACACAUCAUGAGCUUUUGGUUUAAUUUAGUGAAAAACACGUUUCUCGAGAUGUUGCAUUUAUUGUGGGUUGGUACAAAUUUGUGUUUUGGCCAACGGAGAAUAUCAAAUUAUUUGAGCAUAUAUAUCAAAACAAAUACAGGGAAAACACUCUCUGUCGAAUUAGACCCAAAAUGGGAUAUAAAGAAUCUGAAAGAAAUUGUUGCCCCAAAGAUGGGAAUGGCAGCCGAGGAUAUUAAGAUUAUAUUUGCUGGUAAAGAGCUGCAUAAUUCAAUUGUAAUUGAAGAAUGUGAUUUGGGUCAACAAAGCACUUUACACGCAGUAAGGAAUCCACAUAAAAAAUUAAAAAAUCAGUGUGCUUCUAGUUCUAUAGAAGAAUACAAAUCUGAGAGCUCUGACUUGAACGAAAGUGGUAGCAAACCUAUGAAUGAAACUCUUACAGAUUUGUCUUUGGACUCAUCUGAUCAACACAAUUUAUCUACAGAAGAGCAGCAAGACAAUCGAGCACAUUUUUACAUAUAUUGCCCAGGACCUUGUAAGAUUGUGACAGCGGGUAAGCUGAGAGUCAAAUGUGCAAAAUGCAAUAGCGGCGCUGUCACCGUCGACAGAGACCCUCAAUGUUGGUCGGACAUAUUAGAACCGAAUAGGAUAACUGUACAUUGUGAGAAUGACUUUUGUCCUGCAUCCUCACUUAGCGAAGAGGAAUUCCAAGUCACUUACGCUCACUUCUACUUCAAGUGUACAAGACAUGUCAGCUUAGGAGAGGAUGACAAAGUCAUACCUCUUUAUCUCAUUAGAGCAAAUUUAAGGAAUGUCCCUUGCUUAGCGUGUACAGACGUCAGAGAGACGGUAUUGGUAUUUCCGUGCGAAGCUCAUCAUGUAACUUGUCUCGAUUGCUUUUGCGAGUACUGCAUAGUUCGCUUGCAAGAACGACAAUUCCAAUUCGACUCCGUCGAAGGCUACUACACCUUGCCGUGCCCUGCUGGAUGCCCCGACUCUUUUAUUUCCGAAGUUCAUCAUUUUCAUCUUCUUAACGCGGAACUGUACAACAAGUAUCAGAGAUUCGGUACGGAAGAAUACGUUUUACGCAGCGGUGGCUUUCUGUGUCCGAUGCCAGACUGUGGAAUGGGCAUUAUACCGCCCACUAUCGAGGAACAAGCGGAGAAAGAUGAUGACCAACGCCGGAGGAUUCAGUGCAUUGGUGGAUGUGGUACUUUGUUUACAAGGAUACCAUACAGGAAAAUGCGAAUUUCAGCCAUUGGGAGCGUCUACAGAUGUCUCCUCACUUAGAAACUAUUCAGUGGAUCCUCUGAGAGCUAAGGAUGCCAAGUGGGACGAGGCUAGCAGGAAGACGAUACAAGUAUCCACGAAACCUUGUCCUCUGUGCAGAACUCCUACUGAAAGAGAUGGAGGUUGUAUGCACAUGGUAUGUAUGAGAGCAGGAUGUGGGUAUCACUGGUGUUGGGUGUGUCAAAUGCAGUGGACCAGAGAAUGUAUGGCUAAUCAUUGGUUUGG